rnacentral:rRNA from 1 species
UACGGGGGGAGCGAGCGUUGUUCGGAUUUACUGGGCGUAAAGGGCGCGUAGGCGGUCAGCACAAGUCAGUUGUGAAAUCUCCGAGCUUAACUCGGAAAGGUCAACUGAUACUGUGCGACUAGAGUGCAGAAGGGGCAACUGGAAUUCUUGGUGUAGCGGUGAAAUGCGUAGAUAUCGGGAGGAACACCAGUAGCGAAGGCGGCACUCUGGGCCGGUACUGACGCUGAGGAGCGAAAGCGUGGGGAGCGAACAGG